UACGUAGGGUGCAAGCGUUAAUCGGAAUUACUGGGCGUAAAGCGUACGCAGGCGGUGAUGUAAGACAGUUGUGAAAUCCCCGGGCUCAACCUGGGAACUGCAUCUGUGACUGCAUCGCUGGAGUACGGUAGAGGGGGAUGGAAUUCCGCGUGUAGCAGUGAAAUGCGUAGAUAUGCGGAGGAACACCGAUGGCGAAGGGCAAUCCCCUGGACCUGUACUGACGCUCAUGCACGAAAGCGUGGGGAGCAAACAGG
rnacentral:rRNA from 1 species